UCCCACCCCCAGUCCAGUGCAUAUAAUUAGCGCGGCUAGGAAAUUUGGAUUUGCGAAUCAAGUGACCUGUAGCUUCGGUUGAAGGGCCACAAUCUAACGGAACUCCUUGACCACAUUAAAUACUCUGCACAAUAACGAAAAUGAGGAUCCUGACCCUGUCACUGCUCCUCUUUAAUGCUUUUAUGAAGACAGAAGCGACUCCGACGACAGGUGGGAAUGCUAAGGGUGCACCCUGCGUGUUUCCGUUUGUCUACCAGGGAAAGUCCUACAGCUACUGCAUUACGUAUAAUGAAGACCGGAGGCUGCCAUGGUGUGCCACCACGAGUAAUUUUGAUCAAGACAAACAGUGGGGCUACUGUCCAAAGUCAGGCAUUAAGGCAGUGAACGGGAGAGCAGGUCCCGAGUGUGUCUUCCCCUUCGUCUACAAAGGAAAGUGGUACUUUACCUGCACAAACGAGGACAGAGACAAGAAGUGGUGUGCAGUGACCAGUAAUUACGAUGAGGACCAGAAGUGGGCUUACUGCUCUAAUACCGGUCUUCCAGCAGUUGGUGGGAAUGCCAACGGAGCCCCUUGUGUUUUCCCCUUUAUCUAUCAAGGACAAACAUACACAUCUUGCACUAACAAAAACUUUGAGGGCUUGUGGUGUGCAACAACAGGCAACUAUGACAAAGACACUCGGUGGAGCACCUGUCCAGGUGCUGCUGUCCCAUCUUGUGCCUUUCCUUUUACUUACCAAAAUAAAGAGUACAAGUUCUGUACCACCGCUAAUUGGGUUGAAGGACGACCCUGGUGUUCUCUCAACACCCAAUAUGAUGGCAAAUGGACAUACUGUCCGACCUCAGGGGUUCAGACAUUUUCCGGUAAUGCAGAGAGACCCGACUGUGUGUUUCCCUUUAUCUACAAGGGGGUAACCUACAACUCCUGUACCAAAGUGGACAGCCAUGAAGACUGGUGCUCCAUAACUACUAACUAUGAUCAAGAGAAGCUCUGGGGUUACUGUGAAACUAAAUCUGAGUUUAGGACAACAGGUGGGAAUGCCAAUGGUGCACCCUGUGUGUUUCCCUUUCACUUACAAGGGAAAACCCUACAAACACUGCAUUACCUACGAUGAAAAGCGACACCUGCCUUGGUGCUCCACCACAAGUAAUUAUGAUGAUGAUAAAAUUUGGGGCUACUGCCCAACCUCAGGUAUAAAAGCAGUGAAUGGAACAGCUGGCCCCCAGUGUGUCUUUCCAUUUGUCUACAAGGGAAAAUGGUACUUCACCUGCACCCAAGAAGACACAGACAAGAAGUGGU